UUCCUACGGGGCGCAGCAGUGAGGAAUAUUGGUCAAUGGGCGGAAGCCUGAACCAGCCAAGUCGCGUGAGGGAAGAAGGCCCUGCGGGUCGCAGACCUCUUUGGACGGGGAGCAAGGCCGCCGACGUGUCGGCGGAAGGAGAGUACCCGUAGAACAAGCAUCGGCUAACUCCGUGCCAGCAGCCGCGGUAAUACGGAGGAUGCGAGCGUUAUCCGGAUUUAUUGGGCGUAAAGGGCUCGUAGGCGGUUCGUCGCGUCCGGUGUGAAAGUCCAUCGCCUACCGGUGGAUCCGCGCCGGGUACGGGG
rnacentral:rRNA from 1 species